rnacentral:lncRNA from 1 species
UCUUGGUGCAAAUUUUUUCCCAUUGUUGAUGAAGAUUCUAGCCACCUCAGUAUUUACUUCACUUAAGCACUAAAGCCCGAGAAGAUCUGUAUCUCGUGACUUAUUUUGAGUGAGUUUGUAAAGAAAAUAUUGUGGGACACGCCGCAUAACAUCCAUGCAUUCGAAAUAGACUAUUCGACGCGAUGGAGGACCUGGCAUGGGGGCGGGAGGAGGGCACGCCUGACCUACUGACGGAGGCCUUCAAAAGGCUGGUGGACCAGAACCUGCAGGGGGCGGUGCUGCUCAGGGAGGAGCUGAUGCUGGAGACAUGCCUACGAGGCGACGCUACUGCCAG